rnacentral:rRNA from 1 species
AACGAACGCUGGCGGCAGGCCUAACACAUGCAAGUCGAACGCUCCAGCAAUGGAGAGUGGCAGACGGGUGAGUAACGCGUGGGAACCUUCCCAAUGGUACGGAAUAGCUCAGGGAAACUUGAGGUAAUACCGUAUACGCCCUUACGGGGAAAGAUUUAUCGCCAUUGGAUGGGCCCGCGUCGGAUUAGCUAGUUGGUGAGGUAACGGCUCACCAAGGCUACGAUCCGUAGCUGGUUUGAGAGAAUGACCAGCCACACUGGGACUGAGACACGGCCCAGACUCCUACGGGAGGCAGCAGUGGGGAAUAUUGGACAAUGGGCGCAAGCCUGAUCCAGCCAUGCCGCGUGAGUGACGAAGGCCUUAGGGUUGUAAAGCUCUUUUGGCG